AAAUUCAAAGAAACCUCAAAAGAAUUUCAAAGAAAUAAUAAGAAAUCUUAAAAAAAUAUUAGAAUGAUCACAAAUAUAUCUCAAAUACAUCUUAAUUAAAUCUUAAUUUAAUCCUACUUAAAAUCCUAUUAAACUUCAUUCAAACUUUAGGCCAAAACUAACUAAAUCUUAAAUCCUAAAAAAAUCCUAAUAAAAUUCUAAACCCUAAAUCAAACCCUAUAAAAAUCCUAAACUAAAUCUCAAAAAAAUACUAAACCAAAUCCUAAUCAAACCUUAAAUCCUAAAUCAAACCCUAAUUAAAUCCUAAACCCUAAAUCAAAUUCCAACCAAACUCUAAAUUAAACCCUAAUCAUAUUCUAAAUCUUGAAUCAAAUCCUAAUCAAAUCCUAAACCAAAUUCUAAAUCCUAAAUCAAAUCCUAACCAAACUCUAAUUCUAAAACAAAUCCUAACCAAAUUCUAAAUCCUAACCAAAUUCUAAACCCAAUCUAUAACCAAACCCUAGUAAUUCCUACAACAGAUUUAAACCUCAAUAACUAAUGAAUGAAUCAUU
rnacentral:lncRNA from 1 species